GUCCUAGCCGUAAACGAUGGACACUAAGUAGGGGCCUUUCGGGGUCUCUGCUGUAGCUAACGCGUUAAGUGUCCCGCCUGGGGAGUACGGUCGCAAGGCUAAAACUCAAAGGAAUUGACGGGGGCUCGCACAAGCGGUGGAGCAUGUGGUUCAAUUCGAUGCAACGCGAAGAACCUUACCAGGGCUUGAAGUGAUGGUAGUAGGGACCCGAAAGGGCGACGACACGUAAAGUCGGGAGCCACCAUCAGGUGUUGCAUGGCUGUCGU
rnacentral:rRNA from 1 species